UACGUAGGGUGCGAGCGUUGUCCGGAAUUAUUGGGCGUAAAGAGCUUGUAGGCGGUCUGUCGCGUCUGCUGUGAAAAAUCCGGGGCUCAACCCCGGACUUGCAGUGGGUACGGGGCAGACUAGAGUGUGGUAGGGGAGACUGGAAAUUCCUGGUGUAGCGGUGGAAUGCGCAGAUAUCAGGAGGAACACCGGUGGCGAAGGCGGGAUCCUGGGCCGUAUUGACGCUGAGGAGCGAAAAGCGUGGGUAGCAAAACAGG
rnacentral:rRNA from 1 species